GGACCCGCACAAGCGGUGGAGCAUGUUCUUUAAUUCGAUGAUACGCGAGAAACCUUACCAGCCCUUGACAUACGUAUUUUACUUUCUGGAGACAGAUUGUUUCGGUUCGGCCGGGUACGUACAGGUGUUGCAUGGCCGUCGUCAGCUCGUGUCGUGAGAUGUUGGGUUAAGUCCCGCAACGAGCGCAACCCCUAUUUUUAGUUGCUACCAUUUAGUUGAGCACUCUAAAGAGACUGCCGAUGAUAAAUCGGAGGAAGGUGGGGAUGACGUCAGGUCAUCAUGGCCCUUACGGGCUGGGCUAGAAACGUGCUACAAUGGCGACUACAAAGGGCUGCGAGGCAGUGAUGCCAAGCCAAUCCCUAAAAGUCGUCUCAGUUCAGAUUGCAGGCUGCAAUUCGCCUGCAUGAAGUUGGAAUCGCUAGUAAUCGUGGAUCAGCAUGCCACGGUGAAUACGUUCCCGGGUCUU
rnacentral:rRNA from 1 species